GACGAGGCACUACGGUGCUGAAGCAACAAAUGCCCUGCUUCCAGGAAAAGCCUCUAAGCAUCAGGUAACAUCAAAUCGUACCCCAAACCGACACAGGUGGUCAGGUAGAGAAUACCAAGGCGCUUGAGAGAACUCGGGUGAAGGAACUAGGCAAAAUGGUGCCGUAACUUCGGGAGAAGGCACGCUGACACGUAGGUGAAGUGAUUUACUCAUGGAGCUGAAGUCAGUCGAAGAUACCAGCUGGCUGCAACUGUUUAUUAAAAACACAGCACUGUGCAAACACGAAAGUGGACGUAUACGGUGUGACGCCUGCCCGGUGCCGGAAGGUUAAUUGAUGGGGU
rnacentral:rRNA from 1 species